rnacentral:rRNA from 1 species
AACGAACGCUGGCGGCAUGCUUAACACAUGCAAGUCGAACGAUGCUUUCGGGCUUAGUGGCGCACGGGUGCGUAACGCGUGGGAAUCUGCCCUUGGGUUCGGAAUCACAGUGAGAAAUUGCUGCUAAUACCGGAUGAUGUCUUCGGACCAAAGAUUUAUUGCGCAGGGAUGAGGCCGCGUAGGAUUAGCUAGUUGGUGGGGUAAUAGCCUACCAAGGCGACGAUGCUUAGCUGGUCUGUGAGGAUGAUCAGCCACACUGGGCCUGCGACACGGCCCAGCCUCGUACGGGGGGCAGCAGAAGGUAAUAUUGGACAAUGGGCGCAGGCCUGAGCCAGCAGUGCCGCGGGAGUGAUGAAGGCCUUAGGAUUGUAAAGCCCUUUUACACGGGAUGAUAAUGACGGUACCGGGAGAAUAAGCACCGGCUAACUCCGUG